UACGGAGGAUGCAAGCGUUAUCCGGAAUCACUGGGCGUAAAGCGCACGUAGGCGGACUCGUAGGUCAAUUGUGAAAUACCUGGGCUCAACCCAGGAACUGCAGUUGAAACCACUUGUCUUGAAUACCUGAGAGGGUGGGGAAUACCUGGUGGAGAAGUGAAAUUCGUAGAGAUCAGGUGGAACACCGGAGGCGAAGGCGCCUGCCUGGCAGUGUAUUGACGCUGAGGUGCGAAAGUGCGGGGAGCAAACAGG
rnacentral:rRNA from 1 species